rnacentral:rRNA from 1 species
GACGAACCGUGCAAACGUUAUUCGGAAUCACUGGGCUUAAAGGGCGCGUAGGCGGGCCGCCAGGUCCGGGGUGAAAGCCUCCAGCUCAACUGGAGAAGUGCCUUGGAUACCGGCGGCCUCGAGGGAGGUAGGGGCGUGCGGAACUUCGGGUGGAGCGGUGAAAUGCGUAGAUAUCCGAAGGAACACCGGUGGCGAGAGCGGCGCGCUGGAUCUCUUCUGACGCUGAGGCGCGAAAGCCAGGGGAGCAAACGGG